rnacentral:lncRNA from 13 species
AUAUAUUUUGGCUCAUAGGCAGAAGGAACUUGACUUAUCUCAGAUGAGACUUUGGACUAUGGACAUUUAAGUUAAUGACAGAAUGAGCCAUGAACCACUGGGCCCCACCCAUCCUGUGCCCAUGAAAACCCCAGGCUCCACCAGCAGAGGA